rnacentral:rRNA from 1 species
CCCGCUCAAGAACUAGAAAGGAUUGACGGGGGCCCGCACAAGCGGAGGAACAUGUGGUUUAAUUCGAUGAUACGCGAGGAACCUUACCCGGGCUUGAAAUGCAUCUGACCGGCCUUGAAAGAGGCACUCCCUUCGGGGCAGAUGUGUAGGUGCUGCAUGGUUGUCGUCAGCUCGUGCCGUGAGGUGUCGGCUUAAGUGCCAUAACGAGCGCAACCCUCAUCAUUAGUUACCAUCAGGUAAGGCUGGGGACUCUAAUGAGACUGCCAUCGUAAGAUGUGAGGAAGGUGGGGAUGACGUCAAAUCAGCACGGCCCUUACGUCCGGGGCGACACACGUGUUACAAUGGGUGGUACAAAGGGCAGCUACCUGGCGACAGGAUGCUAAUCUCGAAAACCGCUCUCAGUUCGGAUCGGAGUCUGCAACUCGACUCCGUGAAGCUGGAUUCGCUAGUAAUCGCGCAUCAGCCACGGCGCGGUGAAUACGUUCCCGGGCCUU